rnacentral:SRP_RNA from 1 species
AGCCGGGUCCUGUGCAAUAAAGACUCGCAAACCCCGUCAGAUCCGGAAGGAAGCAGCGGUAGCGAAUCUCUUUAUGUGCCGGGGGUGCCUGGCUAUC